GACCCUGUGGCAGGGGUCGAACUCACGGACUUUUAAUCCGCAGGUCCCAGGUUCGAGCCCUGGUGGGGGCACCA
rnacentral:tRNA from 1 species